UUGCGUAGCGGCUCACUUAGGAGUCUUGGAGCCGCGCCGCUGAGAGAGCUGCUUUCCAGGCGAGGUUGGUGAAGUGGUCCCGCGCCGUCCUCGGGCUUCUUGUCCGGCCGCUGCGGCUUUCGCAGCGGAGCCCGGGAGGGGAAUGGUGAGCGGAGUGCUCAGUAUUCAUCGGCCCGAAAAGGGGCCGGGCCCGAGGCUCGUGGUGCACCGGGAUCCCACCAUCCCCUCCAGCAGCUCUCCCGUGGCAUUGCGCUGCCUGCAGCCAGCCGCGAGAAUACUGGAAGCAGAGCAGGAAAGCUAAUUUUAGCUUCAGAUUUCCUGGGAGGAGAAAGAGCACUUGACAGAAGGAACACCAAAUAGCAGUAGUCCAGGGAGGCUAAUUUUGACUCGUCUCUGAGAUGCAGUGUGUGCUGGGCAUUCUGCUGCUGGUACCUGCUCGUAAGACUCCUCCUGCCUGUCUCAGCUGGAUCAAGGCCCUGUGGCAUACCCUGGUGGAUUCAGCCUCACCAAUGCGAUAGAACCCUCUGAAGCUCUGCCGCAAUCAUCUUCGUUCCUUGAUCCUCAACACAGAAGGCCCCUCUUGCUCUGCUCUCAACACAGUGACUGUCCAUGGCAUCCCUUCGGACCCUCUCCUCUCUCACUCUGGGAGGGAGAGUCAUUCCUUCUAAACAUCCCUUACCACUGAAUUUGCAAGAAGUGGUGACCCCUAGCUUGGUUCUGCACAACCUAUAAAGCAAUGUGCUUUCAGCUCCCCAGCCCUCACCACUCAACCUAUCUAAUACAACUUUCCCCUAGUCCACCUUUCUUUUCCAACCACAGUCCUUGGACUGGAAAGAAUGGACCUUUCUACCUUGCUGCUUACUGCCAAUUGCCCCCCCCCAUAUGCAAAACUCUUCAGCCAAAUCCACUUGGCCAGGUAAUUAACAUACUAAAGGAGGGGAUAGAUGAAUUUAGAAAAUUAAUUUCUUUCUUCACAAAGCCUGGCUUUGUCUUACUACAGAGCCUCAAAAGUCUGUUUUGCUGGUAAAAGUUGUUGUUCGCCUUUGAAGAAGCAAAUUGGGAAGUUGGGAGAUGGAAUGGGAGGGAGGCUCAUGUUUCCCUGUCUACCCUUUGGUAUCUUUUUUAAUUGGUACCAUGUGCAGUGUCGACAUUCAGCUGGUUUGCACCAGUACAGCUCUGCCAGUCCUUUUCAGCUUGCCUGUUCUGAUUGGGCAAUAGUCUGUCCUGAGUGGCCAGUGCCCAUUUGGUUCCAGUUGUUAAACAUUUUUAGCUUAGUCCUGACCAUGUACAUAAAUAACCUAUUUGCUGAAGGCAUAUAAUUUAAUUGUUUAAGCCUGUUUUGGAAUUUUUUUUUUUUAAUGAGCAACAUUCUUUACAUUCCUGAUGAAUUAAUCCUAAUCUCUUCUUUUUCCCACCUCACCCCAGCGUGUGCGUGCGCGCGCGCGCACGCACACACACACACACACACACACACACACACAGGCAGAUGGAUGCCUCAGGCUGAGUAGGAAGGAGGUCAAGUGAAUAAAAAAGUGAAAGGGAAACCAUACAGGGCACAAUGUUCCCAUCAACAAACAGUUAUAAACCCUGUUCCCAUCCCCCACUCUAAUAAAUCACAGUUUUUGUUCAGGUAUCUUCUUUUUUUUUACUGGCUAUGUCCUUCAGGAGGACAUUACCAGCUCAAGGGGAAAUAGCAUGAUUGAGAUAAAUCAGUUUGAAUGGGUCAUUUCUUCUUGCCAAUAGUUUAAGCCUGGGCAAGUGAUUCAGUUAUGACCAAGGAUGUGUGAGGGCAAUUCUUCUGAAGGGCUUCAGCAAGUGCCUUUCUUUGCUGAUUUAAAAAACAAGCAAAUAGAAAUAAACACUUCCAUGCU